GACGAACGCUGGCGGCGUGCUUAACACAUGCAAGUCGAACGGUGAAGGGAUCAGCUUGCUGGUUCUGGAUGAGUGGCGAACGGGUGAGUAACACGUGAGUAACCUGCCCCCUUCUUCUGGAUAACCGCAUGAAAGUGUGGCUAAUACGGGAUAUUCUGCGCCUGCUGCAUGGUGGGUGUGGGAAAGAUAUUGUUUCGGUGGGGGAUGGGCUCGCGGCCUAUCAGCUUGUUGGUGGGGCGAUGGCCUACCAAGGCGGUGACGGGUAGCCGGCAUGAGAGGGUGGCCGGUCACACUGGGACUGAGACACGGCCCAGACUCCUACGGGAGGCAGCAGUGGGGAAUAUUGCACAAUGGGCGCAAGCCUGAUGCAGCCACGCCGCGUGAGGGAUGGAGGCCUUCGGGUUGUGAACCUCUUUCGCAAGUGAAGCAGGCCUGUCCCUUGUGGGUGGGUUGACGGUAGCUGGAUAAGAAGCGCCGGCUAACUACGUG
rnacentral:rRNA from 1 species